AUGGAGUCACCCAGCCUGGAGUGUAGUGGUGCCAUCUCAGCUCACUGCAACAUCUACUUCCCAGGUUCAAGCAAUUCUCCUGCCUCAGCCUCCCAAGUAGCUGGAAUUACAGGCACACAACAAGACAUUCUCCAGAUCACCUGGCAUCUAGCUGGGGCCACAAGGUUUUUUUCUGCCAACGGAAUAUGUGCAGAAGUGAUGUAUAUGACCUCAGAGCCCAGCCUCUAAAUAUCCUGUGUCAUGCUCCACAUUCUGUCCAUUCAUCUCUCAGUUAACUAAAUAGAAGUGAUGCAAGGGAGGACUCCAAGGAAGCCCUAGGGAUCAUGAAGCUACAGAAUGGGAGAAUUGCUGUCACCACAGUUCUGGAAGAAGAAUUGUUCAGGAGAACAGCCAUUGGACUAUGGCAUGCCAAAGAAAUCUCUGUUGUGAAACCACAAUUAAAAGUUGUUCUUCCUGCCUCUGCUUCUUGACCAACCCCUGAGUGGCCCUGUAUAGUGUUCUCCCUAGGAAACUGUGGAUUCUACUUCUGGUGAAGAUGACGUGAACAUUGCUGAAAUGGCAACAAAGGAUUCAGAAGAUUACAUCAACUUAGUUUGGCAAAGCAGUGGCAGAGUUUGAGAGGACUGACUCCAAUUUUGAAAGUGGGUAAAAUGAUGUCAAAGAGCAUCACAUGGUGCAGAGAAAUCUUUCAUAAAAGAAUCAACUGAUGUGAUCAACUUCAUGGUUUCUUAUUUUAAGAAAUUGUCAAAAGCACCUUAACCUUCAGCAACUGCUGCCCCAUCAGCCAGGAGCCAUCAACAUCAGGAAGACCCCCCCACCAGGAGAAAGAUUAGGUCUCACUGAAGGCUUGAAUGGUUGUUAGUAUUUUUCAGCUCUAACGUAUUUUUAAAUUAAAGCUUUUACACUGCUGUUUUAAACAUUAUGCUGUUACAUACUUAAUAGACCAUGGCAUAGGGUGAACACAACUUUUAUAUGCAGUGAGAAACUAAAAAAUUCAUAUCAUGUAUUCUAUUGUGAUAUUCACUUUAUUGCAGUGGUCUGGAACUAAGCCCCCAAUAUCUCUGAGGUAUGCCUGUAAUUGAGCAUUCCCAUAAUUAUAAACUGUGAUACAGGCUAUGAAGGAAAAGUGCAACAUGUCAGGAGACUGUGUAACAGAGAUAUCUGGUCUAAUGGGGCGAGACAGUCUGAAAAAAUUGCUUUAAUUGCUGAGAGCUGGAGAAAUAAUAGUUAACCAGGAAAGGGAGAGGAAUCUGGAGGAGGAGCUUCUGGCAGCAGGAAUAGAAUGGCAAAGUCCAAGUUGUGGGAAGGAUAGGGGCCCAUUUAAAGAAUGGAAAGGAAAAUAAAAUAGGAACACAGUACAGGAAGGAGUGAGGGAUAUGAGAAGAAACCAGAGAAAGAAAGGGGCUAAUAUCGAGGUUCUCUACCUUGGCACUGUUGAUUAACAUUUGGGGCUGGAUGAUUCUCUGUUGUGGGGAGUGGCCCUUUGCACAAUUUUAGCAGCACCCUCUGGCCUCUACACACUAGAUGCCAUUCACAUCCCUUCCCUUCAGUUAUAACAACUGAAAAUAUUUCCAGAUAUUGCCACAUGUUCCCUGGUGGGGGCAAGGGUGAAAUCAUCGCCCCCAGGUAAGAGUCACUGUUUUUGAUCAUGCAGAGCUCUUUAGGCCAUAUACGGAUUGGGGCCUUUAUAGGCAGAGCACUAGGAAACUCCUGAAGGAUUUCAGUAGAAUCCUGUCAGAGAAUGUGAUAGAUCUAUGGCACACAAGAUAAGGACAUCUUCUUUUUCCUGUAAAAUAAUCAUUUUACCUCCUCACAUAGCCCCCUCCAGCUAUACCAAGAUAAAAACUUUUAUGUGUGAUUCUUAUCACCUACCACUAAAAUGCAUAUGCUUAGCUAUCAAUUAUGUUCAAAGAGUACCCAAACAUUGCUUUUGAGCAUAUUGUUGUGUCAUGAUUGCAAAGUUAUAAUUAUGAAUCCUGCAGGGUUCAUUAGCAAUUCAUAUCUUCACUAGCUUAGAACUUUCAGAAAUGUGUUUUUUGGGGAAUCAAAUGUAUAUUAUGGCUCUAAUUCUGAAAGAGAGAUGUUUGGAGAGCUUUGUGACUAUUUGAUUUUUCUUGCAUUAAUCAAAUGACAACCCUUAUUUAGCUAGAGAUGCUCUUCAACUUCUUUUACCAUUUUAUUCCUAAGACUCUUAAAGUGGUGUAUAUUUUUUUACAUUUGGACUUAGCAUUUGGUAAAACCAAAUACAGAACACAUACUCUGGCCAAAGGAAAAUUGGCCUUGAUUCCAGCCUCAGAUAUUUAAAUAAAUCAUCGUUGGUGGAUGUAUUUUUCUUCUGUAGAUAGAAGUAGACAUUGAGGUAAGAAUCUUGGCUCAGAGAUGAUAAGGAAAUACUAAAGAGUUAUGUUUAAAUAUGCAACUUGGCUAGGCACAGUGGUUCAUGCCUGUAAUCCCAGCAUUUUGGGAGAACAAGGUGGAAGGAUCGCUUGAGCCCAGGAGUUUGAGACCAGCUGGGCAACAUGGUGAGACCCCGUUUCCACAAAAAAUUAAAAAAUAAAAUAAUAAAAAAAUUAUCCAGGUAUGGUGGUGCAUGCCUAUAGUCCCAGCUACUAGGGAGGCUGGGGCAGGAGGAUCACUUAAACCUGGGAGGUUGAAGCUGCAGUAAGCCAUGAUCAUGACACUACACUCCAGCCUGGGUGAUAGAGCAAGACUCUGUCUCAAAAAGUAAUCAGACAAAUAUGCAACCUUUUGGAGAGCUAAUGGUUGAUUCUUCUCAAAAGGCAGAACCUCUGGGGAUUGGGUGGAGGGAGGGAGAGGAGAAGGAAAGAGGGGCUAAAGCUGCUGAGGGCAAUAGUAGGGAGGAAGGAUAAUAGAAUCCAAUGCUGUCAUAGAGGAGAGGAACAGAAAAACACUGCAUGAUGCUUGUUGGUAACCUAUUUCAUCCCUUCAGGAGAGUGGUGUUGAGUGAUACAGAAUUCUAGCAGGAGAAAUUGACCUAAAAUGCUUUAAAGAAAGAAUCAGGAAGUAGACUUAGUGCCUGGUGUAGGAGUUGGUGGAUGCAGAGUCUCUAACACACUGCCUGGAAGAAGGUUCAGCUGUGCAUAUAUGUCCCAGUGACCAACUAUUCCAGUUUGCUUGGGCGUUCAGGAUUUUCUGAGACAUUGGACUUCCAGUGCUUCAAACCUAGACAGUCACAGGCAACCAGGACAGCUGGUGAGCCUACACACAAGGACACUUUUCACAGAGGAUCAUGGCAAAAAUGCAGGGGGCAGACACAGCUUCAGUUCUGAUACCACCAGCAGCAGCAGCAAUGGAACCGAUUUGGGGAUGAGCCACAGUACACAGAACAAGUGCUGCUUGGGCUCAAGUAGUUGGUGGUGUGAGCUGUGCUGAAGGUGGCUGCAAAAAGUUUUUGUGAACUCUUCUUUCCCCGUAGAGCUCUACCAUGUUACAGAAAGAUCUAGGGAGCAGAAAUAAGUGGAGAGGUGGAGAACCAAAUAAAUGAUCCAUAAUUGAGAUUGAUUGUAAAUCUUUCUGGUCUCAUAUUUAAAAUUGAUACAGAUUAUUAAAAUUAUUAUGGAUCUACAAAAAUAUAAAUUAGUAAAACUCUUGUUGUACUCAUAAAACUGUGAGCAGUUUGAGAGAAAGAACAAUGUCCUGUAGACCACUGGUACUCAGUUUAGUUUAGUGCACAACAGACAGUCCAAAGAUUUUCUUGAAGAUGGAAACAAAAUACGAACUGUUUCAUGAUGUCUUCCCAGGCUUUUAUACAUCUGUGUUUUCUUAGACUGCUCUCCGGGACACUAGAGCAGCAAAAUCAAAUGCAGAGAGCAGCCCCAUAAGCAUAGAUUCCCGUGGAAGCCAACUGACAUCACACCCACAGAUUGGUGGGUGCAGAGUAGUUGGGAGGAGAGGUUUGGCUUAAUGGCACUGUACCUGCUUUUUAUUACCCUUAUUCUAAUUUAUUUUAAGCCUGGAGCAUUUAGGCUGGAGCCUGUUUUCCUAGGUAGAAGGAUACCUUAUAAAAAUUAGUACACACUUGAAGUCACACCGUCCUCAAGAUGCUUAUGUCUAACAGCAGAAAUAGCUGCAUAUGUGAAAUAGCAGCAAAUGUUGUAAGGUAAUAUACAAUUAAAUGCAAUGGCUGUUUAGAAGAAGAGAUCAUUAGGAGUUAGAGAAACUGGAGAUUGUGGUACAGCAUUGAAAGAUGGCACAGAUUGAGAGCAUUUUCCAGGUGGGAGGAGAGACAAAAGUGAAAAGAAAAAAAAAUCUAAGAAACACAGAAUAGAGAAUGAGAAGGCUGAAGUUACCAAAAAAAGCUGACACUUUAUUAUUAUUAUAAAUACAAUGAUAUUUAUUUGUAUAUAACCUAUGUAUUAUGCAAUUAUUGUGCACUCACUGUGCCACAAUUAAUGCCCUAAAUGACUAAAAUGUAUUCAUUAAUCUUCACAGGAGCCCUCCAUAGAGGGUAAUGUUAUUGGCCCAUUUUAAAAAUGAGAAGAGGUUCUUAGAGGGGUUGAGCAACUUGCCUGGAGCCUCUUAAUCAGGACUCAAAGCAAUGAAUCUGGCUUCAGAGCCUUUGUCCUCAUGCAGAGACUCUAAGUGACCUUGAUAUGUGCCCAAAUCAAGCCUGUAUGUUGGGAAAUUGCAGAGAACUAUUUUGGGAGAAACAUGAAAGACCUUGGUAUUUAGGCAGAGGCAUAUAGACAUGGAUAUUGCAAAAACAAUUCAUCAACCUUGUGGAAAUGUAAUUCUGGGUAGGUCCACAUCGGUCAGAGCAAGGUCAUUUUAUCUGACAACCAUGAUAGAGAGUAUCUGUGUACUCUGCCCUUUCAAAAGCUAUAGAAAUUCAUGUGUCAUGAAAAAAAGGUAAUGGCUUUAAAAUAUGAAACAGUACAAUGUGUAUUUCAAGUGUAACCUUAGUACUCACUACAGAUUUGCAACUCAAUUUUCAUAUCUGCUAAUAGAGUACGGAGUGAGCUUUCUACAAUUCUUUACAUACAAGAAAACAAACCAAAGAAUCAAUACUCAUAACAGUGUUUUAGUGAAAUAUAGAUAUUUACUGGUGGUACUUUAAAACUUUUGAGAAGCAUCGCCUGCACAAUUUACUAUUUUUGUCAGAAAAAUUAUCAAAAACUGGAAAAAAGGCAUAAAAUUGUGGUAUGCUUUUUUCAUAUAAUAUUGGGGGAAAGGCCACUCAAGGACUGGCUAGAAGAAUGUUCUUAGUUCAUCUUAUUGUUAGUUAUUGACAAAAGGUCCCAGACUUAAUGAAGUUACCUUACUGAUAGAUUUUUGUCCAGUAACGAUGAAAAUAAUUUUUGUUUAGUGAAAUAAAUGGUGCCAAAGACUUAUGAUCUGUUGGACUAUAAUGGAGCCCGUUUUUUUUUUUUUUUGAGACAGAGUCUCUCUCUUUUGCCCAGGCUGGAGUGCAGUGGCAUGAUCUCAGUUCACUGCAACCUCCACCUCCCACUUUCAAGCAAUUCUCCUGCCUCAGCCUCCCUAGUAGCUGGGAUUACAGGUGCAUGCCACCAUGCCUGGCUAAUUUUUGUAUUUUUAAUAGAGACGGGUUUCACCACAUUGUCCAGUCUGGUCUCGAACUCCUGACCUCAUAAUCUGUCCACCUUGGCCUCCCAAAGUGCUUGGAUUACAGGCUUGAGCCACCGUGCCCAGCCCCUUUCGUUUUUCUUUUUAAUCAAAAUCAGCAAUCUUAUCCUAACAUUUCUUUGCUAAAUCUCCUAUAAAUAUCCUAGCAUUUUGAAUAUUUUUGAGGCAGUCAUAACACUUAUUGAGUCCCUCAUAAAUUGAAGAGUUAAAUAAAGUUUUUUAGAGUCAUGAUUUUUAUCUUCCGAUACGUAUACUUUAACACUUUGAAAAUAUAUUUUGGUGGCAGUUUUCUCACAUCUGUAAUUCUAAAAGACAGAAAAAGGACACCCUCUGACUGUUGGUGUGGAUUUGACUGUAGAAUCUAGAACUCAAGAGUGAAUUUAUUUUCUCUGUUUUACUCACUGAUUUUUGGAAUAAGUUCAUAAAAUAUUCUUAAAACAUCUCAUUCUGAAAUUGUUGCUCUCUCUCUUUACUUAAGAUGAUCUUUAUGACUGGUGGGAAAAUCAUGGUGUCUGUUGUGAAUGGGAAAUAAUGAAAAUGUCUUAUGGUGGUAGCAGUGUGCCACUUGCUUGUAUAGUAAUGAUCUAUUUUAACAUACAGGCCUCUGAUUCCACACUUGCAAUUUAUCAAAUUUUCUGACUUGUACUUAUAAAAAUGAAAUUCUAGAAAUUUAUUUGGCAACAUUGCCACACCUAUAAAAGCACUAUAGUCUUUAUCUGUACCCUAUAUAAAAGAUAGAAAUAAGACUUUUGGAUAACCAAGCACUUUCUUUUUCAGGAAAUAAUGUGAAUAAGAUGACUUCAACUCUCAGGAAAAAAAAAAAGAGCUUUAAUGAAAAGAUUUUUAAAGGGUUUGACAUUUAGCUAACAAUGGGGUUCAAAUUUCAAAUGUGGCCACAAAUGUAUAUUUGGGUAAAAAGGAAUUUAGUAGACUUUAAUGCAUGCAAAGAUAUUCAAAACUAUUAGAAGGAAGAAUUCCAAUGAAGCAAAUUAGAAUAAAUUAAAAUAUUGUUCAACAAUUCAAUUAACCUUUCAAAAUUGCACAAGUAGUGUCAUACUGUGCUCAUGUUACCUUAAUAAAAUACUAUAUACAUAUAGAUGGUGCUCAAAUUAUACCAUUAGUAGCAUUUUUCUGAAGUAAAUUCUAACAUUAUUGACACUCAGCAGUGAUAUUUACUAUAUGGAAAUAGAAAAGUUCAGGAUAAACCUGUUCACUAACAAUCUGGGGUAUUUUACCACAAACACCCCAGUUUUAUUUAUGUAUGUACUUAUUUAUUUUGAAAGGAAAAAGGGAAAACCACACAAACAAUUUAUGAAAGCUUCCAAUUAGGUACAUUUUAGCAAAAAUGCAUAUUACAGCUUGUCAUUAACUAAGACUGUUUUGGUUCAUAGGUUGAGCAUAUCCAUAUUGUCAGCAUGAAUAAUAUGUAUGGUUUUCUCUCUAAAAACAUUUCUUUCCAAGAUCCAAGAAAUAGAACUUUCUUUUCAUUAUCUGGAGCAGGGGAGUUCAUUAAAAGGAAUUCAAGCUCAGUACUGUCCUUACUUUCCCAUCUGGGAUAACUAAUUCUGUCUCACUUAUGUUACAACCAGCAUUCUAUAGCAUUUCUCAAACUAAGGACUGGAGGAAUUAGAAAAAUUUCCCAUUAUAUCCAUUGUAAUUUUGAGGAAAUUGCUGAAUAUACUUAAUUCUUAAUGUAAAAAUGUCUUUUUUUUUCAAAGGAAGAUAAAUAGCAUUAAUGAGCACUUACUCUGAACCAGACAUUGAGAUAUUUUAUGCUAUUUGGAGCUGUUGUAAUUCUAAUGUUGGGGGCUAGUGGGGUGAGGCAUGGAGAAGUUAUAUAACCUGUCCAGGGACACACUGUGUAUAAAUGGCAAAGCUGGUGAGCAACCUCAGGACUUCUAGCUGCAAUCUGCAUGUUUUUUCAACUGUACCAUGCUGCACUCAGUUCAAUGAGCAAUACAUCUAUCUGUUUACCCAUGACCUCAGUUGAACUAAGGUAUCUCUAAAGAAUAUUGGACAGUUUAGAAAAAGACCUUUUUGUCAUGCUUUGUAUUCAUCCUCUCCUAGGAACAUUUCAAAUGUGACAUGUGUAACUGCAUUCUAACAGAGAGGGCAAGAAAAAAAAAAGACUCAUUCAAAAACAGAUUAUUCUCAUUGCAGAAAGCCUGGUAAAAAAUGUCCCCAGCUCUGCCUCCUUUUACUAGUUCUAUAACCACCCCUUCUACUUCUGUUCCUUCUUCUUCUCUUUUGGCUUCUGGAAUAUAACUAUACAUUUCCCUCAAAUCAAAUACUCUGAGUUCAUACUACCAAAAGAGAAAAGAAGACAAAUAUAGUAUAAGACUUUAACUUAAAUAAAAUAGAAGAAAGAGUGAAGCCUGAUAAAUGAGGACAUUACCCAUUUAUUUAUUGAACCUAGUUAGAGAUAUGAAUAGGAAAUAGGAAAUAAUGUAAUCCAGUAGACGACUAAGACAGGUAGACAGUUACGUAAUCAUGCUAUAAUAUUAUUAAUGCUCUCAUAAAGGCCUACACAAAUUAUUUCAGGAGCUCAGAGGCUGUAAAAGUUAAUUUUGCUUGAAGGGAUCAAGAGAUUCUUCAGAAAUACUUUAACUGAGCUACAUAUUGGAGAACCAAGAGUUUUACCAGAGAAGCAGGUGCAGGAGGCAUUUCCAGGAGAUGGAAUACAGUGAGCCAAGGCAUACAGAAAUGUGAAAGUAAAAAGAAGGUUGGAAAAUAUUGAAUUGUUCCCUGUGUUAGAGGACACAUGGGUUAGGGUAAGGAGUAGUUAUUUAAAGAUUUGCUAUUCUUGAGAGUUUGGAUUUAUCCUGUGAUCAAAAGAGAGCCAAACAUUGAAACAUGGAAGGGCAUGCCUUUAAUGCUAUGAAGGACUGGAUGGAUUUUAUCUAUCUAGGCAGAUUUCUUGCAUGGUAUUAGGCAUAUUUAUGUGAUGACUUUAGGGGAAGAGUUAGUUCUCUCAGUUGAUAUCUGAGAUGUAGAAGGAAAAAGGACCAGUCUUCCCAAAUUCACCCAUAUUUUCUAGAGCAAUCAACUAACACCUCCAAGGCCAUCCCUUCUAGACACUGCUUUUCGACAGAAGUAUUACAGGGGCCAACUCUAUGCAGUGUGUAUACUCUAUGCCCCAUGGUGAUCAGAGUCAGCUAGGUAUCUGUGGUGGCCAGCUCUGUUCACAUCCUUUCUAAGCCCAAGGAGUGGCCUUUUGAAAAGUCUAAACAAGCCGGAGUCAUAUAUAGAGGAACUAAAUACCUUGCAUUGUGCCACAGAAUAUAACUUGGUGCAGAAAGACUUGAGUCUAAAUUCUGACUCAACUACUUACUAGCUGCGUUGGGUAUGUUAUGUAACUUGUUUGAAGCCGGGUUCUCAUUUGUAAAAUGAAAAUAUUUAUCUUGCAGGGUUCUUGUGAGAAUUCAGCGUGAUAAUACAUGGAAAUAACAGAUUCUCAAUAAAUGAUACCUCUGCUGCA